CCAUUCAUGAUUGGGAUGCGUCAUCACU
rnacentral:sRNA from 1 species